rnacentral:lncRNA from 1 species
AGAGUUAGUUCCAUGGCUUCUGCUGCUGGAUGUUUGCAUGGCGGGUUGCAGCAGUAAUAUUACUGUCUUAUAGACCCAUUUUCAUAUUUCCCUUCAAGGGCUUGCAAGCUAAGCCUUGCCCCAAUGGGACCUAUGGUGAGCAAAGGGGUCUGAGCAGAGCUGAUGAAUGCUUACUGUGCCCUGCAGGGAAGUACUGCUAUAGAGCAGAGGUUGAGCCUUCAGGAAUUCCCCACCCUACUGGGGAUUGCCCCCCCGGCUAUACUUGCCCACCGGGGACUGGAUUCCCUUUCUCUUUCCCCUGUGUGCCGGGAUUCUCCUGGGAUAACUCCACUGUAGAGGGUGAAGGCAUUUGCAUACCAUGCCCAGCUGGGCACUACUGUGACUCUCCUGCCAUGUUGGAGCCCAAAGCCUGCCCAGUGGUAAGUUCUUUUGUCUUGGUUGUCUGAUGGAAGGAGCUGAUGAUAAGUGGUAUGUGGAAGUCUGUUUAAUGGAAGAGCCUCCAGUGCUGUAUUAAGCUGUUUUUUUUUUUGUAGGGCUUUUACUGCGUCAGAGGCAGCUCUCAACCAGAGCCCUGUCCGGAGGGUACAUACAGUAACAGGAAGGGGCUAUCUGGACCCUCAGAGUGCAGCCCAUGUGGCCGUGGCUUCUACUGUGCUGCUCCAGGCCAGACUGCACCAAGCGGCCCCUGCAACCCUGGAUUCUACUGCCAGGGUAGAGCUCUGACUCCAGUAAGUCAGGUGGCAAGUUUUUCUCCUCCUUGUCUAAUGGGGGUCCACUGUGGUGUUCUCCUUUAUUAGCCCAGUGACUUCAAGAACCAGUUUCAUG